UCUUAUGGAUGAGCAAAGAAAGUGGUUUAUUAAGAUGGAAUCUUCUCCUGAUGAAGAUGUUGUGAA
rnacentral:pre_miRNA from 1 species